rnacentral:lncRNA from 1 species
AUGGAGCAAGAUCUCACAAAACAAAAGAAAACAACCUGUUCCAUUGCCAUCAGUCAUCCAGUGCUGCUGCAGAGACUUAGAUGGGCUCAGCCUUUUGGAAAUAAAAGCUGGGGGAACGUGUGGAAUUUUUCCACAUCUUUAUCUUAUGACAAUGAACAUGAAACUGACUACCUACCUGAACAGGGAGGACAGAACAGUGGAAAAAUAUGAAACAAAAUCUUCAACAAUUAAUGUCCACAAACGAGUCUAUCUGUAACUCUUUCAAGGUAAUCACAAAUUGAGAGAGUUUAAGAACCAUGUUUAAUUUCCCAAUCUGUAAAUUGAUUGAUAUGCACCAUGUAUUUCAUGGUAUCCAAUGCUUUGGGUUGUUUUUUUUUUUUUUUGAGAUGGAGUUUUGCUCUUGUCACCCAGGCUGGAGUGCAGUGGCAUGAUCUCGGCUCACUGCAACCUCUGCCUACUGGGCUUGAAGCGAUUCUCCUGCCUCAGCCUCCCGAGUAGCUGGGAUUACAGGUGUGUGCCACCAUGCCUGGUUAUUUUGUAUUUUUAGUAGAGACUCAGGAGGCUAAGGUGGGAGAAUCGCUUGAGCUCAAGAGUUUGAGGCUGCAGUAAGCCACGACCACACCACUGCACUCCCACCUGGGCAACAGAGCAAGACUCUGUCUCAAAAAAAUUAAAAUAAAGCUUAUGAUUUUUUUUUAAAAGAAAAGAAGUCACGUGCAGUGGCUUACCUUGUAAUCCCAGCACUUUGGGAGGCUGAGGUGGGUGGAUCACGAGGUUAAGAGAUGGAGACCGUUGUGGCCAACUUGGUAAAACUCCGUCUCCACUAAAAAUACAAAAAAAAAUACCCAGGAAUGGUGCCACGUGCCUGUAGUUUCAGCUACUUGGGAGGCUGAAGCAGGAGAGUCGCUUGAACCUGAAGGGUGGAGGUUGCAGUGAGCCAAGAUUGCACCACUAUACUCCAGCCUGGGGGACAGAGCAAGACUCCAUCUCAAAAAAAAAAGAAAGGAAACAUACCAAAUGUAGGUACGUCCUUCCUUGAACAAUCUCAGGUUUCUAAUCUAAUAACAAAAAAUUUCUAUCAUUAGUUUUGGAAAAGUACCCCCACUUUUGAUGAUCUGCCUGCCUCUGCCUCCCAAAGUGCCCACAGGAUCCCUUCAGGUUCUGAGCGAAUUCAAAAGCUGAUCAGGCUGGGCAAGGUGGCUCACGCCUAGAAUCCCAGCACUUUGGGAGGCCGAGGUUGGGGGAUCACUUGAGGUCAGGCAUUCAAGACCAGCCUGGCCAACACAGUGAAAUCCCAUUUCUACUAAAAAUAUGAAAACUAGCCAGGCAUGAUGUCAGGCUCCCGUCAUCCCAGCUACUAAGGAGGUCGAGACAGGGGAAUCACUUGAACCCAGGUGGCAGAGGUUGCAGUGAGCCGAGAUCACACCACUGCACUGCAGCCUGGGCAACAGAGCAAGACGCUGUCUCAAAAAGCAAACACACAAAGCGGAUCCAAUUUGAGAAGUUUGCAGCUGUCUGACACCCACACAUUUUCUAGGAAAGGCCUACAGGUACAGCACAGAGUCCUAGGCCCACACAAAAAGCAAGAAGCCCUCCUGACUCCCUCUGGCCCAGGACAGGUCGGCCUGCCCCCACACAUUCUCUGCCAGGCAGCCUGACACAGCAGUUAAGGCCCAGGCUUUGGAGUCAGACUGCCUGGGGUCAGAUCCAGGCCUUGUGUUUACUGGCUGGCCUUACUCACUGCUGGAACCUUGAGUUUCUCAUCUAUAAAACAGAACUAAUAAUAGUGUCUUCAUGAGCUAUUAGGAGACUUAAAGGCCGAUGCACAUGGAGCACUUUCAUAAACACUCCCCACAUCCUGGCUUUCCACCUCCCUCCUGCAGGCUCCAGGCUCACUUGCCAUGGUUGCACACAGGCACGUGGGCACCAUCUCUUGGCUCCUCCGUGGGGACCCCUGUGGGCAGGCAGACGCCAAGCUAGAGAACGGGGGGAGGGACUGGGCACUGAGAAUCACACCUGUAAUCCCAGCACUUUGGGAGGCUGAGGUGGGUGGAUCACCUGAGGGCAGGAGUUUGAGACCAGCCUGACCAACAUGGUGAAACCCCAUCUCUACCAAAAAUGCAAAAAUUAGCCAGGUGUCGUGGCACCGGCCUGUAAUCCCAGCUACUCAGGAGGCUGAGGCAGGAGAAUUGCUUGAACUUGGGAGGCGGAGGUUGCAGUGAGCUGAGAUCACAACAUUGCACUCCAGCCUGGGCAACAAAAGGAGACUCUGUCUCAAAAAAAAAAAAAGAAAAAAAAGACAAGUGCUGGUGAGGAUGUGGAGAAAUGGGAACUCAAACACUGCUGCUGAGAAUGUAAAAUGGUACAGCUGCCAUGGAAGAGUCUGGCAGUUCCUCCAGAUGUUAAAUACAGAGCUACCCUACGACCCAGCAAUUCCAUAGCAAGGUAUACACACAAGAGAAAUGAAAACAUACGUUCACUCAAAAUACCAUGAUUCGUAAUACCUGAAAAAGUAGAAACAAUCUAAAUGUCCAUUAAUUGAUAAAUGAAUAAACAAAAUGUAAUACUCUGUCCAGUGGAAUAUUAUUCAGCUGUAAAAAAAAAAAGAAUGAAGUAUUGAUACAUGAACCUUAAAAACACUAAGUGAAAAAAGCCAGAUAUAAAAGGUCUUAUAUUGUAUGAAUCCAUUUCUAUGAAACGUUUAGAACACACAAAUUUACAGUGAUGGUAGAUCAGCAGUUGCCUGUGGCUAGGGAGGGGCGGGAGGCAAACAGAUAAUAGGAAAUUCUAAUGGGCUCAAGGUUUCCUUUUGAGAUGAUGAAAAUGCUCUUAAAUUGACUGUGGUAGUUGCAACACCUCUGUGAAUACAUCAUUGAAUUGUAUGCUUUAAACGAGUGAAUGAUACGGUAUGUAAAUUUUAUCUCAAUAAAGCUGUUAACUCCCCUCCAAAAACCACGCAGUAAAACAGAGAAAACGAAAAUUAGUCAUGAGCACACUAGGGAGAAUUGCCUUUAGCAUCUUAGUGUGCUUUCUUUGUGUGUGACACUGAAUUAGAAUCCUGAAUUUUUAUUUUCUGAUUUUCAUUUUCUUGUAUUUGGCUAUGUC